GGGAAUAUUGCAAAAUGGGCGAAAGCCCGAUGCAGCAACGCCGCGUGGGCGAUGAAGGCCUUCGGGUCGUAAAGCCCUUUUUGAGGGGAUGAGGAAGGACAGUACCCUCAGAAUAAGCCUCGGCUAACUACGUGCCAGCAGCCGCGGUAAAACGUAGGAGGCGAGCGUUAUCCGGAUUUACUGGGCGUAAAGCGCGUGCAGGCGGAUUGGAGAGUUGGAUGUGAAAGCUCCCGGCUUAACUGGGAGAGGUCGUUCAAUACUUCCAGUCUUGAGUGCAGUAGAGGGAAGUGGAAUUCCGGGUGUAGUGGUGAAAUGCGUAGAUAUCCGGAGGAACACCAGUGGCGAAAGCGGCUUCCUGGACUGUAACUGACGCUCAGACGCGAAAGCUAGGGUAGCAAACG
rnacentral:rRNA from 1 species